GUUGACAUAGAUAUUGUUACCAUUCGAUCUUCCUCCUUCAAUCAUUUUGAUAUCUUCAAAACACAUAUCAUCAUCUUCCUCAUCCUCAUCUUCAACCUUUCCAUAAACACUGUAAUCCUCACCAUUCUCGUCCGCUUCAGCAACAAUAGAGAUUCCAGCAUCCUCCUCCCCAUCGUCCUCCUCCCCAUCAUCAUCCUCCCCA
rnacentral:lncRNA from 1 species